AUGUCCCCUAGAGUUCCCUCCGACACUUCACUGGGGAGUAAUAUAUAGUACUCGAUAAUCCUCUGAUCUUUCCCUACUGAAGUGUUUGGGGGAACCCCUGGAAUCAU
rnacentral:pre_miRNA from 1 species